AGAGUGAACGCUGGCGGCAGGCCUAAUACAUGCAAGUCGAACGGCAGCACAGCAGAGCUUGCUCUGUGGGUGGCGAGUGGCGGACGGGUGAGGAAUACAUGGGAAUCUGCCCAGUCGUGGGGGAUAACGUAGGGAAACUUACGCUAAUACCGCAUGCGCCCUUCGGGGGGAAAGCCGGGGACCUUCGGGCCUGGCGCGAUUGGAUGAGCCCAUGUCGGAUUAGCUAGUUGGCGGGUAAAGCCCACCAAGGCGACGAUCCGUAGCUGGUCUGAGAGGAUGAUCAGCCACACUGGAACUGGAGACGACGGUCCAGACUCCGUAGGGAGCAGCAGGUAGGAAUAGUUGGACAAGUGGGAC
rnacentral:rRNA from 1 species